rnacentral:rRNA from 1 species
GAUGAACGCUGGCGGCGUGCCUAAUACAUGCAAGUCGAGCGAACGGACGAGAAGCUUGCUUCUCUGAUGUUAGCGGCGGACGGGUGAGUAACACGUGGAUAACCUACCUAUAAGACUGGGAUAACUUGGGGAAACCGGAGCUAAUACCGGCUAAUAUUUUGAACCGCAUGGUUCAAAAGUGAAAGACGGUCUUGUUGUCUAUUCUAGAUGGAUCCGUGCUGCAUUAGCUAGUUGGUAAGGUAACGGCUUACCAAGGCAACGAUGCAUAGCCGACCUGAGAGGGUGAUCGGCCACACUGGAACUGAGACACGGUCCAGACUCCUACGGGAGGCAGCAGUAGGGAAUCUUCCGCAAGGGGCGAAAGCCUGACGGAGCAACGCCGCGUGAGUGAUGAAGGUCUUCGGAUCGGAAAACUCUGUUAUUAGGGAAGAACAUAUGUGUAAGUAACUGUGCACAGCUUGACGGUACCUAAUCAGAAAGCCACGGCUAACUACGUG